rnacentral:misc_RNA from 1 species
UCCGGUUUGGCACCGGCAGUCCUUUUAGAGUCCCCGGCAUUACCCGCUGGCAACUAAAAGCAGGGGUUGUGCUCGUUGCGGCACUUAAGCCAGCACCUCACGGCACGAGCUGACGACAGCCAUGCAGCGCCUGUGCUAGCCCCUUACGGACACGGGCUUUCACCCGCUUUAACUAGCAUGUCAAGCCUAGGUAAGGUUCUUCGCGUUGCAUCGAAUUAAGCCACAUGCUCCGCCGCUUGUGCGGGCCCCCGCCAAUUCCUUUGAGUUUCAACCUUGCGGCCGUAGUCCCCAGGCGGUUCACUUAAUGCGUUAGCUGCGGCACCGAGGGAUAACCCCCAACACCUAGUGAACAUCGUUUAUGGCCAAGACUAC